rnacentral:rRNA from 1 species
GGUUAUUAGAUUAAAUUAAUAAUUUUACCUGCUCAAUGCUUAUAGUAAAUGGCUGCAGUAUUUUGACUGUACUAAGGUAGCAUAAUCAAUAGCUUUUUAAUUGAAGGCUGGUAUGAAAGGUUAAAACUAUAAAGAUGGUUUUAUUAAUUGAUUUUUAAUUUAAGUUAGGAGUAAAAAUGCUUCUAUAAAACUUUGGGACGAGAAGACCCUAGAAGCUUUUAUGCAGAUGCAUUUUGGUUGGGGUGACUAAUGAAGAUAAAAAUCUUUAGUUUAUGUUAUAUAUAUAUAUAUAUAUUAAGUUACUCUAGGGAUAACAGCGUUAUUUAAUUGAUGAGUUCUUAUUUAUAAUUAAGAUUGCGACCUCGAUGUUGAAUUAAAAUAAAAGUAUGGUGAAGGAGCUUUAUGUUUUAGUCUGUUCGACUAUUAAAUUUUUACA